rnacentral:rRNA from 1 species
UACGUAGGGGGCGAGCGUUGUCCGGAAUCAUUGGGCGUAAAGCGCGUGUAGGCGGCUCGGCAAGUCUGGUGUGAAAACUAGAGGCUCAACCUCUAGCUGUCGCUGGAUACUGCCGGGCUUGAGUCCGGAAGAGGAGAGUGGAAUUCCUGGUGUAGCGGUGGAAUGCGCAGAUAUCAGGAGGAACACCAAUGGCGAAGGCAGCUCUCUGAUACGUGACUGACGCUGAGACGCGAAAGCGUGGGGAGCGAACAGG